GGGUCAGUAGGUUGGUCGUGCCACCGGUACGUACUGGUCUCACUGAUUCCUCCUUCCUGAAGAACCGUAAUGCCAUUAAUUUGGUGUUGCGGGGAGACAGGACUGUUACUUUGAGAAAAUUAGAGUGUUUAAAGCAAGCUAACGCUUGAAUACAUUGGCAUGGAAUAAUGAAAUAGGACGAUCGAUCCUAUUUUGUUGGUUUCUAGGAUUGACGUA
rnacentral:rRNA from 1 species